UCUGCUCCCACACCACACAGCCGCCGCCAUUGUCAAAGUUACAGACACGGUCAACCGCAUCGAGACACAACUCAUACUUAUCGCAAUUGAAUUAACCGGACUGAUCCAGAAGAUGAAUUGGGUGAUGAAUGUUCAUUAACCUAAUCCAAGGACGACAGCACAUCCGACAGACGACCUUCAUGAUUGACUCUACGCAUUGGGCAACAGGCGCACACUAAUAUCUGACCCUUGGCAACCAGCGAGAGCCAAGCCGCAACUGGUCUUCCCCGUCUUUUAUUUUGUUUGGAUACGGCGCAGCUAAACAUCUAGCUAAUCUUCAACCGAUUCAAUACUUUUCUUACCCAUCGGAGAGUAGAUUUACUGGGCGGCGGACAGUUAAUGGGAACGAUUACUGCUACGGCACAACAACGGAGAUCUGAGGGACUCACACUGGUGCUUGCGUCGGUGGAAGAGGCCGAGCCAUUUGAGGCGGACGUCGAUGUCGUCCUUGUGGACCUUGGUCGCGUCGAUCUCCUCCAUCGACUUGGCGGCCAGCUCGCGGAUGCCGUCCUCCAGCACCAGGCUCAUGGGCUCCUUCGCCAGCUUCACCUUCUCCUGCGGGUUGAUCCCCUCCCGGUACUUCUCCUUCAGCACCCAGUAGCCGCCCUCCCUCUCCUCCACUCUCGGCUCCAACCUCUCCUCCGCCACCCCAGCCGUCGCGGCCUCAGUUGCAGGGGUGACGGCCGCCGUGACCGUCAGCCUCCGCCUCGCGGGUUCGCGCCGCGGGGAGGUCCGGGCAGGAGGAGCGAAGUGCUGCAGGGAUGUGGAGGACGCCAUUCACUACUGACUCGGUGGUUCGGACUUGUUCGGCCACACAAAAGGGCCGUGUUAUAGCUGGAAAGUGGGUUGGGAUGCGACUCUUGACUGCUUCAAAAGGCCAACUUCGCCUCCUGCACUCGAAAGUUUAAGGCGGUGCAGUAAGCGUACACCCGCGUAUCCUUGUCAUUGCUCGUUGGAUGCUAUGCAAAGCUCAUUCUAUUUAGCA